CCAGAUGAGUACAGGGGGAGGAAGGAAUACAUAGCUAGGAGCAGAGGAGAAGCUGGAAGAAAGAGAUCUCCUAAUGUAUUGCUGCUAUAGAAGGAUGACUAAAUCAUCAGCUCCAGGAACUGCAGUCUCCUGCCUGGUUCCUGAAGACCCUUGUCAGAAUGCAACAAAUAACUGGGGACAAGUAAGAACAGAACUGAUGAAAUAAUUUGGGCAGAACCAGGGAUACAAGGAUUAUCCAGUGGCUACAGGAUGAGUCUACAAGUGCAAAACUCAAGCAGUAUUCCACCAAAGACAACCAAAGACGGUUUGAGGCAAGCCACUCAUCAGAAAAAUGAGUAGAUAACACAGCCUUAUCUCACCAGGAUCUGGCACUCACAACAGCACAGACCAAGAAUUCUAUUAUUCUUUAGCAUUCAUGAGGAUAGCAUUAGCAGGGAAUAUUUGUUUUAAAGAAAACAAAUCUUUUGUUAAAGAAAGAGCCCAUCCCUGGCAAGGCUUAAUCUUCCACAUGAGAAAGGCCUACAUGGAGUUCUAUUAUUUAAUUGAACAGAGAGAUGCCAAUUCUUCAAAAUGUCUGGUUUUAAUAGAAUUCAGUUACUUCAACAGCUAGCUUACAUUUGUAUUCAGUAGUAUUUAGAGAAUUACAUCAACUAACAAAAAUGGUAAGAUACAAUGUGCUUUUAAUUAAUUGGUCCUCUGCAGCUUCUUCUGUGUUUGGUACCAAACAAAACGCUACAAGGGAAACAGUCCAGAGAGGAACAUGUUCAUACUAUGGCAGAGACAGGCAGAACAGGCACUUUGAGAACCUUUGGCAGAAAACAGAAAAAAAGUGAAAAUACACAAAGGAAAUACACAAAGAUCAAAAAAGGAAAUAAGAGUCAUGAAAUUUCAGCAAUGUGCUCAUGUCCCUACAGUUUGUUUCUUCUUGCAAUAAACUAAGGAUACUCACUGUCAAAAGAAAAGGAAAAAAAAGGUUACAUAGGGAAUGUUCUAGUUUACUGCUGCUUCUAAGAAAUUCAGGAAUGCAUGUCAGAGUACAGACAUUCGGAUUUGCUAAUUUAAUUAGAAUUUAGAACUUUCAUCUAAAAUAAGGAAUAUCCACCAUGUGCCUACAAAAUAAGCAUCACAUUUUUGCUGAAUCAUUAAAAUAUAUUCAGGUAGUUGGGCAAUUGUACACACUACCAAAACAACCCUAUUGAGUCAUUUGUUCAGCUCUCUUAACUGUUUAUUACACUUCAUAGGAGCAGCUCAAUCAAACAGACAAAAAGGAUGAACGGAUGAUGCCAGAUAUUUGGAAUUUGUGGCCUGCUUGGGGUAAUGAAUCGAAGAAACUGAGAGGCCAGGAAUGAUUAUUAAAAAUUCAGUUUAACAAUGCAGAAUUCAAUCAGCAGUAAAGUAAAACGCAAGGUAAAACACUCCAAAAUACAUUUCAAAUUAAAAUGUUUUUUUUCUUUUUAACUAUUUGUAGACCAUUGAAACAGAGCAGUUAACAGUGGUAAGAAAUUAAUAAACAUAUUUCUAAGCCUUCUGAAAACAAAAUCUCAUUUAAAAAUUGGUCUCUCUAAUAGCUGUAUGGUUUGUGGUAAAACCACCACUUUCCAAAACUUUUCUCCAUAAGUGUAGUUUUAAUAAGUACAAUGCUUUCACAACCAGCUUUCAAUUAUGAGCUGUCUAAAAAAACAUCUGGGAUCGCAAUGAAGGAAACCCAAAAUGGUGAAGCGGACAACAAUGGAGGGGGAGCCAGCAAACCAGGGAUGUGUUCCUCUUUUCUGGUGGCAACAGCAACAUCUAAGCCAGAUACUUCAUCUCACUGUGGUCCUCCUUCCAUCCAUUGUCUAUGCAGUUUAACUGGAUAAAUGCUACCAUAUGCCAGGUGUGGGACAGAAGAGAGGAACUCUACCUUCUUCCUCAAAUGGAGACAUUUGAUAUGAGGACAAUCUCUGUAUUCACAUUUGUAUACAUUUGCUGAAUAAAAACCGGAAGGAUAGGAAGGGCAGAACAAGCAAAGGCUACAGCAGCUCUAAGCUAACUUCCAAAGCUUGAUCUCAUCAGUCUUGCACAAUACAACUCUAAACACAAAGAUGAGAACUCAAAAUAAUCCUAGCAGGACUACAAGGAAGGGUAUCCGCUAUCACACUAAUGACUAGAUACAGAUCUCCAAGGGGGCAUGAUGAUUUUCUUUUUAACUGUCACAUCCUCCCCUCCCUUGCCAUACAGUAGUUAACAACACUGAGAAUAAUUUUGGUUUUCUUCUACACACAGUGAAAAAAUAGAUUAUCAGCUUGCAUUUCAAAAGUCCUUCCAGAACCCUCUAAUAAAAUGGACUAUUGAGGAAACAGUUUGGAAAUCUGUGGCAUGGGACCUGUGUAUUCCCCAAGGACUGGAAUAGCCCUUCACACAGUUUUACCCUAACUGCCUCCCUCCCCAAAUCCUAACCAACACUUCACAUGAUUCUUCCAAAAGCACUAUUUAAAUAUCUAUCUGAAAUCGCUUCCUUAAUUACUCACUCAAGCUCAUGCAUGUUUAAAAGAAGCUUAGUAGAUGAGCCACCUCUCCUGGGCUAUACUGAGCCAAGUUUAUGUAGGCAAUGACUGUCCUAUACUGCCUCUAAUCUCACCCCACUGCAUUUCCCCCAGAACAAAUUAUUAUACAUGCAUGGAGUAUCUGUCAUCUGUCAAUGAAGAUUCUCAGGUUGUGUUCUGCAAGACAACAGAAGUAGAAAAAUCAGAGCACCACUUUUAUAAAGCAUACCAGAAGAGUCAGGGAAGUUAAGCAUUCCUUUAGGGAAGAAUAAACUCCAGACUUUUGCACUUCCUUUACGCACCCCAGUUGAUCUGAGCACUUAUCAAAGAUCUCUUUUUAGUAACAUGAUACAACUCGUGUCUUUUCAUUAAAGCAAAGAAAUGCAUAAAAUAGCAAUGAAAAAAAAAUUCAAGUUGAAAAUAAAAGUGUCUUAUUACAAUAACUUAAAUAAGGGGAACAAGUGAAAAUGAAGAAGAGAUACUAUCAAGAAAGAAGCACACAUGAAGAACCACCUCUGAACUGGGGGAUAUAGCAUCCAGGGGAAAAACAGAAGCAGGAAGGUCUGCAACUGCAAAAGUCUAUUCUCUGCAAGAGCUUAAUAUUACCCCUUUUUGCACCAAAUGAGGCAGAAAUCCUGAAGAGAAAAAUACUUUAUGAAAAGAGUCAUGGUUAUGAACAAAGCAGCUGAAUUAUGGUCAGACAGUUAUAAUAAUGACUUGGGGGGGGGGGUUGUUACAUGACUGAUUUCAUGUUUGUUUUGAAUGCUCUGCUUUUAGGUAAUUCUGGUUUUACUACUGAAAAACAAAACUAUAAAAUUAUGCUCAUCCUCUGCUAAAUAAAACAUUUGCAGCUUCCCUUAAAUGCUCCACUUGGCUCUUAAACUGCAGAAGGAUUAUUAAUCAUCUCCUGUUCAAGCAGAACAAUUGACAAGGGGAAAGGAGUGAUGUCCACAAAGCCGGAUGAGAUAAAAUAUUAAAUUACAGUGGGAAUUUACUUAAUUUUUCCUGCAGCAGCUUUGCAUGUGCACCCUCACAACUUCUCUCUAAGAGCUAUCUUACACUUACUGCAGGUUAGGAGCAUGCACACAGGCAAUCACAGCAAAGCAGCUGGCAAACUAGCUUCCAUCUGAACUGAUCCUGUUCCUUUACACGUCUCUGUUCGUGAGUUCUUAACAUUUAUUGUCGAGCUUGCAUCUCGCUACUUGUGCCCACUAUGCUAUCAGGGGCAUCUGCUACUCACCGUUUGUCCUCACAUCACUGAGAAAACUUCAAAAUACCUUUCCACAGUUUCCUCAAUAGCUCCACCAUUUUUCCUCUCAGCAGUCCUCCCCAACUAAUUCUUGUAGUGUCUAUGCAGAAAUCAGGUUAACAAAUCCAGCAGAACUAAUUAAACGGGGCUCAGCUCAUGCUACAUCACACUUUACCUUUGAAUUUUGGUAUGCCUUAGAGGUAGACAAAUCCCUUUUGUAAUAAAUAAAUAAAUAAAUAAAAGGGCCUUUACUUGGAAACCUUGUUUGAAAAAGUCAAAGCUCACCCUACUACUCUUCAAUUAAGGGAGGGAGAUGAGUCUCCAAUAGUGUUUCCUAACAUGUUUUGCUAUAAAACUGUACUUCAAACUUCCUCCCAUCUCAACUAGAUAACAAGCUUUUCCUUCAAUAAAAUAUAAUUAACUGUACAGCACUUCAUUAAACCAUUUCUUUCAAAAACCACCACUCCUAUGAAAUGAGAGGAAACAAACAUUCUGCAAUCCAGAUAGCAUCCUUUCAAGUCAAGACCCUUAACUUUAGGAAAAGUACUGCUGGUGAUCUGAGCUCUUGACUUGCCUUUCUGUGUGCCCACCACAGCACAUUCUUUAGCUGCAAGGUCACUUGAGAAGGUGAUUAGCCUUCCUUGUUUGGUACAGGAUGAAUGAUGCUCUCCUGCCUGUCUAGACUGAAAUUUGAUGGAAUGCAGUUACCUCUGCACCUCAUAUUCCCACACCUCACGGAAGUGAAGCAAGCCCCACUGUUAUCAAUUAAGCACUGAAACUAACUGCUUUAUGUAAUUGCCACAAAGGAAUUUACAAUCAGAUUUCAUCACAUAUGUCAUCCUCAUUUGUUAUUAUAUAUUUCAGCUAAAAGUAAUAACUGUAUGUGGCAUUCCUAGAUUAUUUUAAACUAUUUAGUUGCAAUUAUAUGUUGAAAGCACAUCAGUAACAUAAAGGUAAAUUAAUUAAAUGCUUAUUCUAACCAUCCUAAAAAGAAUAAUACAACCAAGGGCAGAGAAGGGUGGGCAAAUCUAGAAGAAUCAAGACAUAAAUAUCUUGUCCUGUAAUAACACUGUUAAACAUGCAGUCAGCGUGUCUACUUUUAUCUGGAAAAGCAAGGAUAUUGCAAUGGGCUUACUUCUCAGUGUUUCUUAAUAGUCACACCAAAAUGCCUGAUCUCCAAAAACCUGUGUCAAGUUCAAAGAACUAAUUGUAAAUUUGUCUAAAUGAAUAAAUUAUUAAGAAUACUACUAAAAAGGCUGAUGGGAUUACACCAGCUUUUUAUAUAAUAAGCACCUGAAAAUAGAAUAUAACUCUACUGAAAUUAAUUGUCCCACAGCGAUUCUGGUUUUAAGCUUAUAGCAUGAACACAAAAAUAUGUGGAAAAAAAACAAACAGUGGAGAGGUUCAUAACUGGCAUCACUUAAGCAAAGAAAGGGAAAAGUAACGUAUUUAAAUUUCCAUUUAAAUACAGAGCAUUCACAUAAAUUUUAAUUUUCCCCUCAGCAAUCAGAUACAGAAGACAAGUUAGCUGAUACAGCAAUAAGUUCAGUAUUUAGAAUUAUCUUGAUUAACUACAAUUAGAAGGCUGGCUAAAGGCUGUUGAUGUCUCUUGCUUGGUUUUUAUUUUGCAUUAUAUGCAUGAACAUAUUGCAGGAAGAUUGGAAGUGGUAUAUAACAGCGUCAUUACAUGUACGUCAAAUCCUGGUGUCUGAAAACUACAUUUUAAGAUUUGAAGUUGGCAGAAAAGAUACCAUAUGCAAAACAAAUACAUGAAACCUGCCACCAAAGACAAGCUCUUCUUGUUAGCAGUAAAGCAACAUUAAAACAUAGGUACUAUUUGUAAAACUCCAUCGCCAUUCAAUCACUUUAAUUAAGCAUUACCUAAGACACUGCACUGAUUUUCACAAAUAUUUAACAACAAUUUUAGGAAAGAUUAAUUCUAAGCAAAUGGAAGGAGGUAAAGUCAUAAAAAGGAUUCAGAUUCUAUGCAAAUUCUUAUUUCAGUUAGUAUAACUGUGGAUUAUUCAGGUUCUUUGUAUAAAGAUUUGCAUUAUUUGCCACAUAAAAACAUUUUCUAAGUGUUAAAAUUUUAGUUUUUAUCUGUUUCUUUACACUGCCAGUUCAAAUAAAAAAAGCUGUUAUUUUGAUGGGUACUAGCCACACACAGUGCAGUUCAGACACAGUUCUAGAGGAUAUAUUCUGGAUUUACUGGCAAUUCUAGAUGCUUUCUCACUCAGCUAGUGCAAGCUUCUUUUUGUAACAGGACAUGCAGAAUGUGUAAGAGUGUAAGACCUGCCCUGUGUGCUACACACAUUUCACCAUUCUUCCCAAUUAGUCCCUCAAUUUUUAAUGAGACUCUUAAUUAACUGUGGAGCUUUUUGACCUUACCACCAAUCAUCUUCCCUUGGUUCAGUUUCGUUUACAACAUGUUAAAAGCCCAUUCUUUAUUUCUCUGCAUGUCUAAUGUUCUCAACCCAGCUCUUUUGUUACUAACCCUUCUUCCACCCCUCCAAAACCAGUCAAGAAAAUCAAGUUGUCCAUGAUAUCACUUUGGUAUCCGUCUCCUUUUGCAGACCUUCACUUGCUUCAAGACGAAGGGCUUUGUUUUGAUGACUGCUUCAAAGUACAUGUCAUCUGAAUAGUUGCUUUCACAUUUAACUCUUCAAUUCCUGAGAGCAACCCAAUUCAACAUCCAUUUUACUGCAUUCCUGCUUCAACACCUGUAGAUUUCCUCAGUGAAGUGGCUUCUGCUCCGAAUAUGCUUGCCAGUCUCAUAUAUUAUGGCACUACUUACUAUUCAAGUGUCUUAUUAGUACCCUUUUUUUUUUUAACCUGCACAG